rnacentral:miRNA from 1 species
AGCCCUGCACUCUGAUUGGCU